GGGGGUUUGAAGGGUAACCUUACAAUUCAUAUAUUUGUGCAGGGGACCAGCUGGAGCAAGUGAGUUUGGAGGCGUCCCCGUGCGCGCCCUCCAUGCUGUGCGGUCGUUCUUGCACGCACGAGUCCCUGGCCGGUCGGCAGCUGAUGUGCCGCUACGGCGACCGGUGGCAGCUCCGCGGCGUAGCGGCGGAGUCCU
rnacentral:lncRNA from 1 species